rnacentral:lncRNA from 12 species
UCUUUGUAUUGUAUUUUUCAUCCUAGUGCCUGUGGUCAGCUCUCAUGUAGAUGAAAAGGUAGUGGUAAUGAGUUGAGCUGAUGAAUCUUUCAGAGGAAAAGGAGAGGAAAAGGAGAGAAAAAGAGAUAAAAUAUUGCAGCUGUUUUCAACAGGAGGUAUUUGUAUUCACCUUUCCUGAAGAGAUAGGAGGAUCUAAAAUUU